rnacentral:rRNA from 1 species
AGUGAACGCUGGCGGUAGGCCUAACACAUGCAAGUCGAACGGCAGCACAGUAAGAGCUUGCUCUUACGGGUGGCGAGUGGCGGACGGGAGAGGAAUACAUCGGAAUCUACUUUUUCGUGGGGGAUCACGUAGGGAAACUUACGCUAAUACCGCAUACGACCUACGGGUGAAAGCAGGGGAUCUUCGGACCUUGCGCGAUUGAAUGAGCCGAUGUCGGACUAGCUAGUUGGCGGGGUAAAGGCCAACCAAGGCGACGAUCCGUAGCUGGUCUGAGAGGCUGAUCAGCCACACUGGAACUGAGACACGGUCCAGACUCCUACGGUAGGCAGCAGUGUGGAAUAUUGGACAACGGGCGCAAGCCUUAUCCAGCCAUACCGCGUGGGUGAAGAAGGCGUUGGGGUUGUAAAGCCCCUUUGUUGGGAAAGAAAAGCAUCAGGUUAAUACCCCGCUGUUCUGACGGUACCCAAAGAAUAAGCACCGGCUAACUUCGUG